rnacentral:snoRNA from 1 species
UACUGUUAAUGAUGAAAUUGUAUAGAACAAUGGGAAUCUCUCUGAAAUAUAGUGAAGAGGAUUUUCUACUGAAACAGUG